rnacentral:rRNA from 1 species
CGGAGCUUGCUCUGUGGGAUCAGUGGCGAACGGGUGAGUAACACGUGAGCAACCUGCCCCUGACUCUGGGAUAAGCGCUGGAAACGGCGUCUAAUACUGGAUAUGUGACGUGACCGCAUGGUCUGCGUCUGGAAAGAAUUUCGGUUGGGGAUGGGCUCGCGGCCUAUCAGCUUGUUGGUGAGGUAAUGGCUCACCAAGGCGUCGACGGGUAGCCGGCCUGAGAGGGUGACCGGCCACACUGGGACUGAGACACGGCCCAGACUCCUACGGGAGGCAGCAGUGGGGAAUAUUGCACAAUGGGCGCAAGCCUGAUGCAGCAACGCCGCGUGAGGGACGACGGCCUUCGGGUUGUAAACCUCUUUUAGCAGGGAAGAAGCGAAAGUGACGGUACCUGCAGAAAAAGCGCCGGCUAACUACGUGCCAGCAGCCGCGGUAAUACGUAGGGCGCAAGCGUUAUCCGGAAUUAUUGGGCGUAAAGAGCUCGUAGGCGGUUUGUCGCGUCUGCUGUGAAAUCCGGAGGCUCAACCUCCGGCCUGCAGUGGGUACGGGCAGACUAGAGUGCGGUAGGGGAGAUUGGAAUUCCUGGUGUAGCGGUGGAAUGCGCAGAUAUCAGGAGGAACACCGAUGGCGAAGGCAGAUCUCUGGGCCGUAACUGACGCUGAGGAGCGAAAGGGUGGGGAGCAAACAGGCUUAGAUACCCUGGUAGUCCACCCCGUAAACGUUGGGAACUAGUUGUGGGGUCCAUUCCACGGAUUCCGUGACGCAGCUAACGCAUUAAGUUCCCCGCCUGGGGAGUACGGCCGCAAGGCUAAAACUCAAAGGAAUUGACGGGGACCCGCACAAGCGGCGGAGCAUGCGGAUUAAUUCGAUGCAACGCGAAGAACCUUACCAAGGCUUGACAUAUACGAGAACGGGCCAGAAAUGGUCAACUCUUUGGACACUCGUAAACAGGUGGUGCAUGGUUGUCGUCAGCUCGUGUCGUGAGAUGUUGGGUUAAGUCCCGCAACGAGCGCAACCCUCGUUCUAUGUUGCCAGCACGUAAUGGUUGGGAACUCAUGGGAUACUGCCGGGGUCAACUCGGAAGGAAGGUUGGGGAUGACGUCAAAUCAUCAUGCCCCUU